rnacentral:tRNA from 1 species
GGUAAAGUGGCUCAGUGGUAGAGCGCUUGUCUUGCAUGCAUGAGGCCCUGGGUUCAAUUCCUCAGCACCA